rnacentral:rRNA from 1 species
UACGUAGGGGGCAAGCGUUGUUCGGAAUUAUUGGGCGUAAAGGGUGCGUAGGCGGUUUGAUAAGUCAUCUGUGAAAUCUCUGGGCUCAACCCAGAGUCUGCAGGCGAAACUGUCGGGCUUGAGUAUGGGAGAGGUGAGUGGAAUUUCCGGUGGAGCGGUGAAAUGCGUAGAGAUCGGAAAGAACACCAACGGCGAAAGCACUCUGCUGGGCCGACACUGACACUGAGAGACGAAAGCUAGGGGAGCGAAUGGG